AAAACGCAAUGGAAAGCGCGUUGGAUUUCUAAUCCAAAGAUCGUGGGUUCGAAUACAAUCUGAUAUA